GUAUCAUCUAGAAAAAAGCUUUUCCAGAACGAAACUAUUUCUCCAUUUGAUAAUUGUACAAAAAUCUUCCUUUUAUUACUUCCCAACAAUUCCUUAUUCGUAUCAUUGCGGAGGCUAGAUUCUCUGUCAUCUUCAUCUUCGGAGCCUGAUAUACUUGAUAUAUCAUAAUCUUUAACCAACGAAUCUGAUGUCCAUUCAUCGAAAUCAUCCUCUUUCACAGUAUCCUUUCCAGCAACCAAUUCACAUUGAUUCGAUGAAAAUCGGACUUGAAAUGAGAGCGUUGAUCUAGAAGAGACUCGAAACUGGAUUUACAAGUAUUACACGUCCAUUUCUCACUAGAACUGACACUUUUAUCCUUCGUCGAUUCUUCUUCUUCUUCUAGGUUAUUUUCCUUAUUAAUAGUGGCAGUUGUUGCGAGUUCAGGAAUAAAAGCGGUUGAAGAAGAUUCAAGGAGGCGGCAUGAAUCGAAGAAAUCCGACGGAAGAUCGAAGAUCGAACGGAAUAUCCUUUUAGGUUGAGUAUGUUGCUCUGAACUGACGGCGGUGGCACGGCGGCCGGAAGUAAGCUCCGGUACCGUAUUCAUCGUUGUUAGUCGGGUUAUGAUAACCGCCUGUAUCUAGGGUAUGAAUUCAGUUCCUGUGCACAAGUCGGGAU
rnacentral:lncRNA from 1 species